rnacentral:rRNA from 1 species
CAAUAAGCGGAGGAAAAGAAACUAACAAGGAUUCCCCUAGUAACUGCGAGUGAAGCGGGAAAAGCUCAAAUUUAAAAUCUGGCAGCCUUCGGUUGUCCGAGUUGUAGUCUGGAGAAGCGUUUUCCGCGCUGGACCGUGUACAAGUCUCCUGGAACGGAGCGUCAUAGAGGGUGAGAAUCCCGUCUUUGACACGGACUACCAGUGCUUUGUGAUGCGCUCUCAAAGAGUCGAGUUGUUUGGGAAUGCAGCUCAAAAUGGGUGGUAAACUCCAUCUAAAGCUAAAUAUUGGCGAGAGACCGAUAGCGAACAAGUACCGUGAGGGAAAGAUGAAAAGCACUUUGGAAAGAGAGUUAAACAGUACGUGAAAUUGCUGAAAGGGAAACGCUUGAAGUCAGUCGCGUUUGCUAGAACUCAGCCUGGCCUCGGCUUGGUGCAUUUUCUAGUGAACGGGCCAGCAUCACUUUUGGUUGCGGGAUAAAGGUCGCAGAAAUGUGGCACCCUCGGGUGUGUUAUAGUCUGCGGCUGUAUACCGUGGCUGGGAGUGAGGAACUCAGCACGCGCAAGCUGUGCUUAGGAUGCUGGCGUAAUGGCUUUAAACGACCCGUCUUGAAACACGGACCAAGGAGUCUAACAUGCCUGCGAGUGUUUGGGUGGAAAACCCGAGCGCGUAAUGAAAGUGAAAGUUGGGAUCUCUGUCGUGGAGAGCACCGACGCCCGGACCAGACCUUCUGUGACGGAUCCGCGGUAGAGCAUGUAUGUUGGGACCCGAAAGAUGGUGAACUAUGCCUGAAUAGGGUGAAGCCAGAGGAAACUCUGGUGGAGGCUCGUAGCGAUUCUGACGUGCAAAUCGAUCGUCAAAUUUGGGUAUAGGGGCGAAAGACUAAUCGAACCAUCUAGUAGCUGGUUCC